GUGGAUUGAUUCUAUCACCCACCACUGAAGAGAGAGAGACGGCAGCUUUUGUUUUGCGAAUUCAUCGCCUUCCUCGCCGAAACAUAAAAUCCGAUUUUCGAAUCCAUCGCUCCUCUAUCUCGCUCCCCAAUUCUCGGCUUAUCUCGGGUUCUCCCAGUUAACAAAAUUGUCCAUCGAUCACUUCCCUCUCCCUCCCCUACUUCUCUCAGCUCGCUCCAGGUGAUCAUAAUUGUACAACCAAAUAGAAA
rnacentral:misc_RNA from 1 species